CGAAACCUAUAUUCCACCAGGUUCUACCACUUGGCUGUCUGUACCUUUUACCUUGUCUGUCUUUUGCACAAACCCACAGCUUAGCUUAAAUAUCAUGGAUCAUGUUUCCUCUCUCUUAGUAUGGCAAUGAUAUAAGAGUGUAUGGACACUUCUAUGUAUGUGAAAGAUGUUCAACUGAAAAGCUGCAAAGAUCUUCCACUUAAUUUCUAGCACUGCAGCCCACCUUGUUCCUCCCUGUGGACUAACUAGUGGACCAACUUCUCAGCUGGUGCCAUUUGUUCCUAGUGGCCUGGCUAGCAGGAUGCAGCCCAGCUGGGGCUGUAACUGCCUUCUGCUGAAGGAUUCAGCCAAGCUGAGAAAAAAUAGAACUUUCUUCACUGGAAAGUUUGCUGGUCUUCUGAACAAGCUAGUUAACUUGGCAGACUUAACUUCUGUCCUAGUAUGUGACAGAAGAGAAGCUUCUGGUACAACCUUAGGAAUUCCAGUUGAAGAAAAGGCUUUUCCAUCAACCCUGGGCAAAAAGAAUGUGCUUAAUUCUUCUAAGGAGAGCUUUACAGAAGCUGGUGGCUUUCUGUCUUUAUUUAUUUUUUUUUGAAGCAGCUCUGGAACCUGUCUGAAAGCACUCCAUUUCAAACUCUUCAGUGUGAUGAUAAUGGACAGUGUGUGGUGAUUUAUGCAGAACACCUUGAAGAGGAAGUGCAGGAAGGAGAGGGCCUCUGGAAAGUUUUGAAAUUGGAAACAUGAAACAUCUCACUCAUGACUUGCAGCUCUGGGGAUUCAGAAAAUACUUCCAAGCUUUGGCAUGUUCAAAAGCUCUCUAGAUGAAGCAGCAGCUGGGUGGCAUACGUCAGAUCCUCUUCAUUUAUGUUUCUACUGCAGCCCAAACUUAAUAAGGAUUGUCCUUACCUGCUGCCAAAGUACAAGUGAAGCUUUGGUACAAAAAGAGUGUAUUCCCUGCAUCUGCCCUGUGUCCAGAGUAGACCAAACGCCACCCAAGGAGAAGCAUGGGUGUUCUGCUUGCACAGGGUACUGCUCUGUUCUCAGCAGCUCCGAGGCAAGACAUGCAAAUGUUCAAAUAGUCUGUCUUAAUAAAAAGUCUUAUCCAGUUCUCCUAUCCUGUUUUUUCUUUUUUUUUUUUUUUUAA
rnacentral:lncRNA from 1 species